rnacentral:rRNA from 1 species
GACGAACGCUGGCGGCGUGCUUAACACAUGCAAGUCGAACGGAAAGGCUCCAGCUUGCUGGAGUACUCGAGUGGCGAACGGGUGAGUAACACGUGGGUAAUCUGCCCUGCACUCUGGGAUAAGCCUGGGAAACUGGGUCUAAUACUGGAUAUGACCUUUCUCCUUAUGGGGUUUGGUGGAAAGUUUUUCGGUGUAGGAUGAGCCCGCGGCCUAUCGGCUUGUUGGUGGGGUGAUGGCCUACCAAGGCGACGACGGGUAGCCGGCCUGGGAGGGUGAUCGGCCACAUUGGGACUGAGAUACGGACCAGACUCCUACGGGAGGCAGCAGUGGGGAAUAUUGCACAAUGGGCGGAAGCCUGAUGCAGCGACGCCGCGUGAGGGAUGACGGCCUUCGGGUUGUAAACCUCUUUCAGCAGGGACGAAGCGUAAGUGACGGUACCUGAAGAAGAAGCACCGGCUAACUAUGUG